rnacentral:SRP_RNA from 1 species
GCUGGGUGUGGUGGCGGGUGCCUGUAAUCCCAGCUACUCGGGAGGCUGAGGCAGGAGAAUCGCUUGAACCCAGGAGGCGGAGGUUGCAGUGAGCCAAGGUUAUGCCACUGCACUCCAGCCUGGGUGACAGAGCGAGACUCUGUCUCAA